rnacentral:misc_RNA from 1 species
AAAGUCGUAACAAGGUCUCCGUAGGUGAACCUGCGGAGGGAUCAUUAAUGGAAAAAAAACUUAUAUAGUGUGAUAACACACAAUAUACAAACAAACGAUCACUACAAACUUUUGAUGAGGGGAAGAAAAAAGUGCUUGCCUGAUAUAUAUAUACACAUUGAUUUGGAGAAUACAACUUUCAACAACGGAUCUCUUGGCUCUC